rnacentral:rRNA from 1 species
UACGUAGGGUGCAAGCGUUGUCCGGAAUUAUUGGGCGUAAAGAGCUCGUAGGCGGUUUGUCGCGUCUGCUGUGAAAACUGGAGGCUCAACCUCCAGCCUGCAGUGGGUACGGGCAGACUAGAGUGCGGUAGGGGAGAUUGGAAUUCCUGGUGUAGCGGUGGAAUGCGCAGAUAUCAGGAGGAACACCGAUGGCGAAGGCAGAUCUCUGGGCCGUAACUGACGCUGAGGAGCGAAAGCAUGGGAGCGAACAGG